rnacentral:rRNA from 1 species
AUGGAACGGAUGGCCAAUUCAUACUUCAAGGAGGUUUUUACUAAAGACCCGACCUUGGAUCCGAACGAGGUGCUGGAUAGUAUCGCCCCUAAAGUCUCCGCGAAGAUGAAUGAGGCCUUGUGUCAAGAAUAUACGGAGGAGGAGAUAUCCAAUGCGCUGUUUCAAAUCGGUCCGUUGAAAGCACCAAGAUGUGAUGGGUUUCCGGCCAGGUUUUAUCAGCGGAAUUGGGUUGUUCUCAAGGAUGAGAUAGUGGCAGCUGUGCAGGAGUUUUUUACCACUGGUGUCAUGCCGGAUGGAGUUAAUGACACGUCCAUUGUGCUAAUUCCUAAAGUACCACACCCGAGAGAGCUGAAGGAUUUCCGGCCCAUUAGCUUGUGCAAUGUGGUGUAUAAGAUCGUGUCAAAGUGCAUGGUAAAUAGGCUUCGGCCUCUCUUAUCUGAGCUUAUUUCUGAAAAUCAAAGUGCCUUCAUCCCCGGGAGGCUUAUCUCUGAUAACUCCAUCAUCGCAUUUGAGUGCAUUCAUCACAUCCAAACCGCCAAAGCAAAUUCACCAUCGUUGUGUGCUUACAAACUAGAUUUGUCAAAGGCUUAUGAUUGUGUUGAUUGGAACUUCCUGGAGAGGGAUCUUUCUAAGUGGGGAUUCUCUGAUGAAUGGAUCUCCCAUGUUAUGGCAUGUGUUACAUCAGUGAAGUACUCGGUGAAAUUCAAUGGGAAAUUGUUGGAGCCCUUCUCCCCCUAA